rnacentral:tRNA from 1 species
GGCAAGAUGGCCGAGUUGGUCCAAGGCGUCAGGUUAAGGUCCACCUUAAUAACCCAGCUUUCCAAGCUUCCUGAUCAUCGUAAGAUGGCGUGGGUUCGAAUCCCACUCUUGUCA